UACGAAGGGGGCUAGCGUUGCUCGGAAUUACUGGGCGUAAAGCGCACGUAGGCGGCUCUUUAAGUCGGAGGUGAAAUCCUGGAGCUCAACUCCAGAACUGCCUUCGAUACUGAAGAGCUCGAGUCCGGGAGAGGUGAGUGGAACUGCGAGUGUAGAGAUGAAAUUCGUAGAUAUUCGCAAGAACACCAGUGGCGAAGGCGGCUCACUGGCCCGGUACUGACGCUGAGGUGCGAAAGCGUGGGGAGCAAACAGG
rnacentral:rRNA from 1 species